CGGUCUGUGAUGACUGGCCCACUGCGCAAUCUGAGUUCUGUGGAACUAAGGAUGGAAAGCGUGCUGAGAACAGACUGAGACCA